GGGACAAUAUGCAGUGUAUAAAUAGUAAAAUAUACUAGGCACAAAGCCUAAAUAAAACACUGCAGAGGAAACAAGAAAAAAGUACCAGAUACAAUCCUUUGAUCUAGCAGCAAUUGCGUUUCAUCUCCAGCCGGAGUCGUCCUCAGUGCACCAUCAACAUAGGCCUCAUCCGACCUCCAGCAAGCGCACCCAUCCCCUCGAGAUAACUAGGCCACAUCCGGCCACAC